AACCGCAAAAGAAGCAGAGGGGGCUUAGUGGUGGGGUGACUGCGUACCUUUUGUAUAAUGGGUCAGCGACUUAUAUUCUGUAGCAAGGUUAACCGCAUAGGGGAGCCGGAGGGAAACCGAGUCUUAACCGGGCGUUAAGUUGCAGGGUAUAGACCCGAAACCCGGUGAUCUAGCCAUGGGCAGGUUGAAGGUUGGGUAACACUAACUGGAGGACCGAACCGACUAAUGUUGAAAAAUUAGCGGAUGACCUGUGGCUGGGGGUGAAAGGCCAAUCAAACCGGGAGAUAGCUGGUUCUCCCCGAAAGCUAUUUAGGUAGCGCCUCGUGAAUUCAUCUCCGGGGGUAGAGCACUGUUUCGGCCAGGGGGCCAUCCCGGCUUACCAAUCCGAUGCAAACUGCGAAUACCGGAGAAUGUUAUCACGGGAGACACACGGCGGGUGCUAACGUCCGUCGUGAAGAGGGAAACAACCCAGACCGCCAGCUAAGGUCCCAAAGUCAUGGUUAAGUGGGAAACGAUGUGGGAAGGCCCAGACAGCCAGGAUGUUGGCUUAGAAGCAGCCAUCAUUUAAAGAAAGCGUAAUAGCUCACUGGUCGAGUCGGCCUGCGCGGAAGAUGUAACGGGGCUAAACCAUGCACCGAAGCUGCGGCAGCGACACUGAUGUGUUGUUGGGUAGGGGAGCGUUCUGUAAGCCGUUGAAGGUGUGUCGUGAGGCAUGCUGGAGGUAUCAGAAGUGCGAAUGCUGACAUAAGUAACGAUAAAGCGGGUGAAAAGCCCGCUCGCCGGAAGACCAAGGGUUCCUGUCCAACGUUAAUCGGGGCAGGGUGAGUCGACCCCUAAGGCGAGGCCGAAAGGCGUAGUCGAUGGGAAACGGGUUAAUAUUCCCGUACUUGGUGUUACUGCGAAGGGGGGACGGAGAAGGCUAUGUUGGCCGGGCGACGGUUGUCCCGGUUUAAGCGUGUAGGUGUGUGUUCCAGGUAAAUCCGGUU
rnacentral:rRNA from 1 species